UCCCGUUGAUCCUGCGGGAGGCUGCUGCUAUUGGAGUUCGAUUUAGCCAUGCAAGUCACGGGGACGCAAGUCACCGGCGUAUAGCUCAGUAACACGUCGUUAACCUGCCCCAGAGUCAGGGAUAGCCUUGGGAAACUGAGGGUAAAACCUGAUAUGGAAAAACUUCUGGAAAGGAUGUUUUCCUUAAAAGCAAUGCUCUGGGAUGGGACGGCGGUCGAUUAGGCUGUUGGCGGGGUAACGGCCCACCAAACCUAUGAUCGGUACGGGCCCUGAAAGGGGUAGCUCGGAGAGGGACACUGAAAUACUGGUCCCAGCCCUAAGGGGUGCAGCAGGCGCGAAACCUUUACACUGCACGAAAGUGCGAUAAGGGAACUCCAAGUGCCAAUGUUUAACAUUGGCUUUUGCCAAAGGCAAAUACUUUGGCGAAUAAGUGGUGGGAAAGACUGGUGCCAGCCGCCGCGGUAACACCAGCGCCACGAGUGGGAGCCGCGAUUAUUGGGCCUAAAGCGUCCGUAGCCGGUCUGUCACAUCUUUUGUGAAAUGGUUGUGCUCAACACAUCCACGUGCAGAAGACACGAACAGACUUGGGACUGGGAGGAGUCAGAGGAAUUCCUUGGGGAGCGGUAAAAUGCGAUAAUCCUCGGAAGACCACCUGUGGCGAAGGCGUCUGACUAGAACAGAUCCGACGGUGAGGGACGAAAGCCAGGGGAGCGAACCGGAUUAGAUACCCGAGUAGUCCUGGCCGUAAACGUUGCGAGCAAGGUGUUGCGCAUUCUCCGAGAUUGCGCAGUGUCGAAAUGAAGAUGUUAAGCUCGCCGCCUGGGAAGUAUGGUCGCAAGGCUGAAACUUAAAGGAAUUGGCGGGGGAGCACCACAAGGGGUGCGGCGUGCGGUUUAAUCUAACUUAACGCAGAGAAUCUCACCAGGAACGACGGCAGGAUGAAAGUCAGCCUAAAGGGCUUACUUGACGAGCCGAGAGGUAGUGCAUGGCCGUCGUCAGCUCGUGCCGUGAGGUGUCCUCUUAAGUGAGGCAACGAGCGAGACCUAUACCUACAGUUGCUACCGAGCUCAGCGAUUGGGCACACUGUAGGGACUGCCUCGGAAACGAGGAGGAAGGUGUAGGCUACGGUAGGUCUGUAUGCUCCGAAUUCCCUGGGCUACACGCGCGCAACAAUGGUAGGGACAAUGGGACGCAACUCCGAAAGGAGAAGCUAAACCUCUAAACCCUAUCUAAGUCUAGAUCGAGGGCUGUAACUCGCCCUCGUGACACCGGAAUCCCUAGUAAUCGGAGGUCAUCAUCCUCCAGUGAAUAUGUCCCUGCUCCUUGCACACACCGCCCGUCAAACCAACCGAGCAGGGUAUAGAUGAGUCUUGUUUUAAUUGAACAAGCCGAAUCUAAACUCAGUGAGGUGGGUUAAGUCGUCACAAGGUA
rnacentral:rRNA from 1 species